rnacentral:rRNA from 3 species
CGACUCUCGGCAACGGAUAUCUCGGCUCUCGCAUCGAUGAAGAACGUAGCGAAAUGCGAUACUUGGUGUGAAUUGCAGAAUCCCGUGAACCAUCGAGUCUUUGAACGCAAGUUGCGCCUGAAGCCAUUAGGCUAAAGGCACGUCUGCCUGGGCGUCACGCAUCGCG